UACGGAGGGUGCGAGCGUUGUCCGGAAUCACUGGGCGUAAAGGGCGCGAGUAGGUGGCGGUCCAAGUCAACGGUGAAAGCUCGGGGCUCAACCCCGAGUCGGCCGUCGAUACUGGGUUGCUUGAGCACUGUAGAGGCAGAUGGAAUUCCGGGUGUAGCGGUGGGAAUGCGUAGAGAUCCGGAAGAACACCGGUGGCGAAGGCGGUCUGCUGGGCAGUAGCUGACACUGAGGCGCGACAGCGUGGGGAGCAAACAGG
rnacentral:rRNA from 1 species